UACGGGGGGAGCAAGCGUUGUUCGGAUUUACUGGGCGUAAAGGGCGCGUAGGCGGUAGCACAAGUCAGUUGUGAAAUCUCCGGGCUUAACUCGGAAAGGUCAACUGAUACUGUGCGACUAGAGUGCAGAAGGGCAACUGGAAUUCUCGGUGUAGCGGUGAAAUGCGUAGAUAUCGAGAGGAACACCUGCGGCGAAGGCGGUUGCUGGGCUGACACUGAUCGCUGAGGCGCGAAAGCCAGGGGAGCGAACGGG
rnacentral:rRNA from 1 species